CUGCUCCCGCAUUGCCUUCUGCCAUGAUUAUAAGCUUCCUGAGGCCUCCCCAGAAGCCAAGUUGAUGUCAUCAUCAUGCUUCCUGUACAGCCUGUAGAACUCUGAGCCAAUUAAACUUCUUUUC